CGGGGCGUGGCUCAGCUUGGCUAGAGCGCCUGCUUUGGGAGCAGGAGGUCACAGGUUCAAAUCCUGUCGCCCCGA
rnacentral:tRNA from 1 species